rnacentral:rRNA from 1 species
UAGUCAUAUGCUUGUCUCAAAGAUUAAGCCAUGCAUGUCUAAGUACAAGCCUAACUAAGGUGAAACCGCGAAUGGCUCAUUAAAUCACACCUAAUCUACAGUUAUGUUCCUGUUACUUGGAUAACUGCGGUAAUUCUGGAGCUAAUACAUGCGAAAAAGCCUCAACUUACGGCGAGGCGCUUUUAUUAGACCAAAACCAAACGGUUCUUCCGUUACUCUGGUGAUUCUGAAUAACUUUGUGCAGAUCGUACGGACUCGUUCCGACGACAAUAACUUCGAAGGUGUGCCCUAUCAACUGUCGACUGUGGUAUAGACGUCCACAGUGGUUUUGACGGGUAACGGGGAAUUAGGGUUCGAUUCCGGAGAGGGAGCCUGAGAAACGGCUACCACUUCUAAGGAAGGCAGCAGGCACGCAAAUUACCCAAUGGUCGAAGACCGAGGUAGUGACGAAAAAUAACGAUACCGGACUCAUCCGAGGCCCGGUAAUCGGAAUGAGUACACUUUAAAUCCUCUAACGAGGAACAAUU